rnacentral:tRNA from 1 species
GCCGUGGUGGCUCAAAUGGUACAGCAGCGGAUUGCUAAUCCGCCAUCUCGGAGUAAAAUCCGGUUUCGGGGUUCGACUCCCCGUCACGGCG